CUUGAGUCUUCGGCGAAAACCCACUAAACCUCGCCGGAAAAAGCCACCCAAAACUCCCCCAAAGCUUCUGUUUUUUUUUACUUGCUCCUCUGUUUCGGGUCAGCCACCGCAGCCCCACCGCGGCGCCGCCGCAUUCCUGCGCCUCUUGUGCGCCACCACCACACCUAACCACCGUCUCUUCUCUCUCCUCUCGCCCGUACAUUCUUUCUCUUUCUUUCUCUCGCGCCCCAUCUCUCUCUCUCGUGUUUCGCUCUCUCUCCUCGUGCGCCGGCGGAGCCACGCCAGAACCGCCGGAAUCCCGCGCCCCAGCCACGCUGCCGUGCCGUUGCUGCCGGAGCUUCAGUCCACCGCCCCACCUCUCUUCCUCCCCUGUUUUCGUGACUGCUCAGUUGAGCAGGAGGUACUAAUGAAGAUGACGGGAUGGCGUAGAAGUGAGGAUGGCCAACUACUUUACAUUAUGAAAACUAUAUUGGUUAUGUAAUCUAAAUCUAUGAUCACUAGAACACGAACUUAGUUUAACUAUAACUACGUAAUCAUCUAUGCUUAUAUAUUUAUAUUAA